ACGUCCCCCCUUCCUCUAUAGAAAAGGAGUCCUCUCCUUCGCCCUGCGGACUUGCCUAUGGUUUUGGGGUUAACCUUAGUGAUCAUGAGUGGGAUGCAGAGAAGCGCCCCAACAAUUCUGGGGCUGAGGAGCAAACACGCGCUGGUACCCGCAGAGCCAGCCGGGCGCACUGACUCCUCCAGGACCUUGGCGUUGAGGCUGUCUUUUCAUGGUCCAUUCCUGGGAGAAUGGCCUCACACCUUGCAACCUAGAGAUUUAUUUCAUCUGUUGGAAAAGACACCUCCGGAAAGGCUCUCUUCAACCUCGCUGGAGAAGACUUUAUCAGGAACUUCCAAACAACCCUUAUGCCACCAAACUCCAGAGCAUAGCCUCUUGAAUUCACGUGACACAUCUAAAGAAAGCACCAAACCCUGACUGGACCUGCAUGCCCUCUGGUGAC